UUUCUCUAUGUUCGUCAGGCUGGUCUUGAACUCCCGACCUCAGGUGAUCUGCCAGCCUCGGCCUCCCAAAGUGCUGGGAUUACAGGUGUGAGCUACCGCGCCCAGCCUACCCUUGGCUAUUUUUAAAGUUUUUUGUAGAGAUGAGGUCUCACUAUGUUGCCUGGGCUGGUCUUGAAUUCCUGGCCCCAAGUGAUCCUCCUGCCUCAGCCUCCCAAAGUGCUGAGAUCAUGGGUAUUUUGAUUUAUGUAUUUUGAAACCCAUAAUUUUUGUCCUCAAGUCUCAGACGUUUGCUUAGGCCUUUAGAAGCUCACACCUGAAAAAGAGUGCCAUACCUGGGCUGUGAUCUUCACCCCGUUCCACAGUCUCCACCUCCCACCACCUCCACCCAGGAUCCCCUCACACAGGUUGUACCACACUGCAAGGGGAUCCUAGAGUGACUCAGAUAUGCCAAAAAUGACAAAUUGAGAAAUUUUGUGUGACCAGGUGUGGUGGCUCACACCUGUAAUCCCAGCACUUUGAGAGGCCAAGGCAGGUGGGUCACGAGGUCAGGAGAUUAAGACCAUCCUGGCCAACAUUGUGAAACCCCGUCUCUGCUAAAAAGAUACAAAAAUUAGCCGGGCGUGGUGGCACGUGCCUGUAGUCCCAGCUGCUCGGGAGGCUGAGGCAAGAGAAUCACUUGAACCCAGGAGGCAGAGAGGUUGCAGGGAGCCGAGAUCGUGCCACUGCACUCCAGCCUGGGCGUGACAGAGUGAGACUCCAUCUAAAAAAUAUUAAAAAAAAAAAGAAGAAAUUUUGUGUCACGCAGUAUCAUCUUAUUCAAGUCCAUUUGAGAAGCGGUGAGCAAAUCGGCUAGGCCUUUAUUGUUGAUGUCAAAUUCUCUUUCCUUGCUCACCCUAUAGGUCCAGGCCAGUUUCCUUUCAUCCUCCCAAAGCUAUUAACACGAUAGUGUGAAUUUGAUGCUGUUGAAGGCAGGCCUGUAGUGAACAUGUGGCAUUUCUUUGGCUACUCAACAUCCAUUCCUCCUUCCUGAUGGCAUCUCAUUUCUUUUGGGGAAUUACUUAUUCCCAUGGAUGCAGCCUUAAUGGGGUAUAAAUCCAGGCGCCUGCUCCCCACCAUGGAAGAUUGUGAAGUGGCCAGAUUCUGCUUCCUCCAGCCCUGAGGGUGGGCAUGCGGCCUAAGCUCAACCAAAUCUGAUAAACACUUCUGGAUCUUUGAACCUCGAACAGGUGACACAAGGAUGACAGGAACAGUUAACAGGGAAGCACACUGAUCGACUGAGCUGCCUGCUCCUGGCCUUCUGGAUCCUCCUCAGUUCCUGCUCAUCUCUAGGCCAGGCUCUCAACUCUGUCAAUUCUGGCAAGUAGAGCUGCGGCUGUCUGGCGCCACUGUAAUGCUGUCUCCUCCUCUGAGUUCAUCCUGGAAACAUUUUCUCCCAUAAGACAUGCACAGGUCUUACGUUUACAUGUUUCACUGAAAGAAAUUUGAUUCCACUGAUGGGAUGACAAGGAAGACUGAAGAAACCUAAUCCUAGGUGCUGCCAUUGGGACAAACAAGAAGCACCAGACACAGUGCUGUUUUAGGGUGGGGCAGAAUUAUGCUGAGGGAAAAGUUAUUAUCACUCUUUAAGGCCAAGGAAACCACAAUUUUUAAAGAAGCUUCUAGAAAUUCUACCCAAUAGAAAAUAAAGAUAAACUUCUGUAAGGAAUUUCAUUCUUUUCAGAAUUCGCAAUCUGAAAUGUAGAAGCCCAUUCCUUCAUGGUUCUCAUAGAUAUUUAGUGUGACUGAGGGGUCAGUGGACUCAUAGCAUUCAGGCCAGGCUUCUCCUGAGUCCCUUUCUUUGGCACAGAGGGAGUGAUUCACAGAUCCUCUACCCCCAAAGGCAUUGUUUCCUCAUCUCAACAAGAAUCCAGCACCCGUCAUUUUAUCAGCACACGUCACUAGCUUCUCAAGUGAGACUACUCUGAAGUGAUCUCUGUUUGAAGAAUGCCUUUCCCUUUCCCUUCCGUAACUAAGAGGAUGAAAAAGGACACUCACUCCCUAUAUGAAAGCUGUGUAUUGUAAGCAGUCAUCUUGCCUGGCUGAGAACUCCAGGAUCUUUUUCUCUGCUCUCCUUUAGGCUGACACUCAUAGCCAGCCCUUCUGUUUAUUAGCCCCCUGAAUCUAUUUGAAAAUAUUUUUGCUUUCGUUAUAAUAUAAGUCACAUUCUUCUUGCAUCUGCCGCUGCAUUUUCCAAAAGGGUUAUGUCAAGGGAAAUUCAACACUCACUUUUCUCAUUAUUUGCUUACCAGCUUGCUCACUCAUCAAAAUACCAGAGUUAUUUGAUACUUCAGAAGAUUAUUUCCCCCCUUAGAUGACGUGUCAAGGGAAGGGGAGCUGGCCCCAGUGUCAGGUGACAGAAUUCUCUUCGCAUUUCUACUGUUGACUCAAUAAAUGCCCUUGGGCAAGUCA